rnacentral:tRNA from 1 species
UUUUAGUUAUCUUAUAAAAAGUUUAUGACUCUUAAUCAUACGAAAGUGGAGAAUAGCCACUACUAAAAA